rnacentral:rRNA from 1 species
AGCGAACGCUGGCGGCAGGCCUAACACAUGCAAGUCGAACGAAGUCUUCGGACUUAGUGGCGGACGGGUGAGUAACACGUGGGAACGUGCCUUUAGGUUCGGAAUAACUCAGGGAAACUUGUGCUAAUACCGAAUGUGCCCUUCGGGGGAAAGAUUUAUCGCCUUUAGAGCGGCCCGCGUCUGAUUAGCUAGUUGGUGAGGUAAAGGCUCACCAAGGCGACGAUCAGUAGCUGGUCUGAGAGGAUGAUCAGCCGCAUUGGGACUGAGACACGGCCCAAACUCCUACGGGAGGCAGCAGUGGGGAAUCUUGCGCAAUGGGCGAAAGCCUGACGCGGCCAUGCCGCGUGAAUGAUGAAGGUCUUAGGAUUGUAAAAUUCUUUCACCGGGGACGAUAAUGACGGUACCCGGAGAAGAAGCCCCGGCUAACUUCGUGCCAGCCGCCGCGGUAACAC